rnacentral:rRNA from 1 species
AUUGAACGCUGGCGGCAUGCCUUACACAUGCAAGUCGAACGGUAACAGGUCUUCGGAUGCUGACGAGUGGCGAACGGGUGAGUAAUACAUCGGAACGUGCCUAGUAGUGGGGGAUAACUACUCGAAAGAGUGGCUAAUACCGCAUGAGAUCUACGGAUGAAAGCAGGGGAUCGCAAGACCUUGUGCUACUAGAGCGGCCGGUGGCAGAUUAGGUAGUUGGUGGGAUAAAAGCUUACCAAGCCGACGAUCUGUAGCUGGUCUGAGAGGACGAUCAGCCACACUGGGACUGAGACACGGCCCAGACUCCUACGGGAGGCAGCAGUGGGGAAUUUUGGACAAUGGGCGAAAGCCUGAUCCAGCAAUGCCGCGUGCAGGAUGAAGGCCUUCGGGUUGUAAACUGCUUUUGUACGGAACGAAAAGCCCUGGGUUAAUACCCUGGGGUCAUGACGGUACCGUAAGAAUAAGCACCGGCUAACUACGUGCCAGCAGCCGCCGCGGUAA